rnacentral:rRNA from 1 species
UACAGAGGUCUCAAGCGUUGUUCGGAUUCAUUGGGCGUAAAGGGUGCGUAGGUGGCGGGGCAAGUCUGGUGUGAAAUCCCGGGGCUCAACCCCGGAACUGCACUGGAUACUGCCUUGCUAGAGCACUGGAGAGGGAACUGGAAUUUACGGUGUAGCAGUGAAAUGCGUAGAUAUCGUAAGGAAGACCAGUGGCGAAGGCGAGUUCCUGGACAACACCUGACACUGAGGCACGAAAGCUAGGGGAGCAAACAGG